rnacentral:rRNA from 1 species
GACGAACGCUGGCGGCGUGCUUAACACAUGCAAGUCGAACAGAGGCGAACGGGUGAGUAACACGUGAGUAACCUGCCCUCCACUUUGGGCAAACUCCGAGAAAUCGGGGCUAAUACUGGAUAGUGGGGGAUGGGCCCGCGGCCUAUCAGUUGGUUGGUGAGGUAGUGGGCACCAAGGCGUGACGGGUAGCCGGGCUGAGAGGGCGACCGGCCACACUGAGACUAAGACACUGACCAGACUCCUACGGGAGGCAGCAGUGGAGAAUAAUGCACGAUAGGCGAAAGCCUGAUGCAGCGACGCCGCGUGGGGAAUGACGGCCUUCGGGUUGUAAACCUCUUUCAGCAAGGAAGCGGUACUUGCAGAAGAAGCACCGGCUAACUACGUGCCAGCAGCCGCGGUAAUAC